rnacentral:rRNA from 1 species
CAGCGCCACGAGUGGGAGUCGGUAUUAUUGGGCCUAAAGAGUCCGUAGCAUGUUUGAUAAAUUAUUUGUGAAAUCGUACAGCUUAACUGUGCGGAUUGCAAGUAAGACUGUCUUACUAGAGACCGGGAGAAGUUAGAGGUAUUCAUGGGGGAGCGGUAAAAUGCGAGAAUCCCUUGAGGACCACCUGUUGCGAAGGCGUCUAACAAUAACGGGUCUGACUGUGAGGGACGAAAGCUAGGGGAGCGAACCGGAUUAGAUACCCGAGUAGUCC